ensembl:snRNA U6 U6 spliceosomal RNA
GUGCUCACUUUGGCAGCACAUAUAAUAAUAUUAGAACAACACAGAGAAGACUAGCAUGGUUCCUGCACAAGGAUGACACACAAAUUCAUGAAGCAUUCCAUAUUUUU